AAUCUGAUUAGAGCCGUCUCAGUGUUAAUCUAAUCCGGUCAUGGGUAGAUGGUAGGUAGAUCAAACAAAGCUUCUUCCGAUAUGCGCGCGCGGGGCGUUUUGAUCUAAACACUACUCAUAACAAGAUUAACAAGGAAAAUGAGAAGGA
ensembl:ncRNA ZK381.53 ncRNA